UUAUCCAUUUGUGUUCAUAUUGUAUUUAAUUGAAAGAUGUUUGUUGUUUUUUUUUUCUCUUUCUCCUUUCUUCUUUCUACAUACAUUCUUGCUGCUGGAGGCUGUAAAUUUCCCCAGUGUGGGACGAAUAAAGGAUAUCUUAUCUUAUCUUAGUUCGAUGUGAAUGAUUGCAUUCAUUUCAAUUGGACUUGUAAUGACAGGCCUUUGACCGCCAGGUGGCGCAUUGACUUGAAGUUGCAGAAUAUGGGGGCGGGUGGGGGGUGGUUUCGACCACCUAGGACCUCUGUAUCGCUCUACUUCUACUGGUCUGAUCACAACCCAUCUGCAGCAAUGCACAGGCUAAAAUAGGUCAUCAACAACACUGUUGUCAUUU